UUAUGUCUAAAUGUGUAGGUAGCAUUAAUAUUCUGAUAGAACUCACAACAAAAAAACUGAGAAGUUUACUAUUAUGAAAAUGCAGAUACUAUAAUUCUUCUGCCUCAUAGUUAAUGUUGCACCUUUUAUCUAAAUAUUUACAGUGACAAGGUUUCAAAGUAUUGUUGAUAGUGUAACUACUGAGCUAUUUUCUGUUGGACAUGCCUGGUAUGCAGCAACACAUGAGCAUUUCUGAAACUUAUAUCACACUAUUAAUGCAUAUUUAUUUGUUUCCUGUUAAUCAGGUUAGGGAGUUAUUGCCACUAACAAAAUUACAAAAUUUGAAAUGAUGACCAUGUCUAAUAGGUUUUUUUUCUGCAUUUUCAAGGAAUCCCGUCGGAUGAGUUCAUUCGAAAACCUUGCCUCUAACCCUGGCGUUACGGACGUUGGAGAACCUGUUUUUAACACCACAAAAAAGAUUGCAAAUGGAUGCAAUGCUGCUGAAAUUUUCCCAGGAUUCUUCCAGAGCAACAAAGUUGCAGUGAAAAGAGUUGCAAAGCAUAUUUCUCAAAAUGAGAUUAAAAUGGCACAUGUCCUAUGUUCAGAAACAUUCAAAGCAGAACAUCUUUUACAACCAAUUGCAGUGUUGGAAGAUAAUUACUUUGCUUAUUUUGUCUCCCCUCUCUGCAAAUACAGUCUGGCGGAGGUAAUUGAAAACAAGAACUUUCCUGACAGAGAAAGUUUGACUGAGGCUCAAAGACUGGGGAUCUGCCAGGAACUACUGCAAGGACUACAAGAACUCCAUUCACGCGGGAUUUUGCACAGAGACCUGAAGCCCGAAAACAUUUUGUUUGAUAUCAGCAACAAAUUGUUUAUCGCAGAUUUUGGAGCAAGCAGGAAACUGGAUUUGGCACAAUCAGCUUUGCAGUCUCAAAUGGCUGGAUCUUUGUCUUGGUCAAGUUAUGAAGAUGUUUGAGGCAUGCAAUACAAAUACAAGAAAGAGUCAGAUAUCCAGGUGUGCCAUAUCAAGAUGCUGAUUAGACACCAUGAUUAGUGCACAGGUGUGCCUUAGACUGCCCACAAUAAAAGGCCACUCUGAAAGGUGCAGUUUUAUCACACAGCACAAUGCCACAGAUGUGGCAAGAUUUGAGGGAGCGUGCAAUUGGCAUGCUGAC